GAUGAACGCUGGCGGCGUGCCUAAUACAUGCAAGUCGAGCGAACAGACGAGGAGCUUGCUCCUCUGACGUUAGCGGCGGACGGGCGAGUAACACGUGGAUAACCUACCUAUAAGACUGGGAUAACUUCGGGAAACCGGAGCUAAUACCGGAUAAUAUAUUGAACCGCAUGGUUCAAUAGUGAAAGACGGUUUUGCUGUCACUUAUAGAUGGAUCCGCGCCGCAUUAGCUAGUUGGUAAGGUAACGGCUUACCAAGGCAACGAUGCGUAGCCGACCUGAGAGGGUGAUCGGCCACACUGGAACUGAGACACGGUCCAGACUCCUACGGGAGGCAGCAGUAGGGAAUCUUCCGCAAUGGGCGAAAGCCUCACGGAGCAACGCCGCGUGAGUGAUGAAGGUCUUCGGAUCGUAAAACUCUGUUAUUAGGGAAGAACAAAUGUGUAAGUAACUAUGCACGUCUUGACGGUACCUAAUCAGAAAGCCACGGCUAACUACGUG
rnacentral:rRNA from 1 species